rnacentral:rRNA from 1 species
UACGUAGGGUGCAAGCGUUAAUCGGAAUUACUGGGCGUAAAGCGUGCGCAGGCGGCUUUGCAAGACAGAUGUGAAAUCCCUGGGCUUAACCUGGGAAUGGCAUUUGGGACUGCAAGGCUUGAGUGCGGCAGAGGAGACUGGAAUUCCUGGUGUAGCAGUGAAAUGCGUAGAGAUGUGGAGGAACACCGAUGGCGAAGGCAGCCCCCUGGGUUAACACUGACGCUCAGGCACGAAAGCGUGGGGAGCAAACAGG